GUGCUAGCUUUGGGAAUAUAUACACUAAAAUUGGAACAAUACAGAGAUUAGCAUGGCCCCUGAGCAAGGACGACAAACAAAUUCAUAAGAUGUUCCAGAUACAU
rnacentral:snRNA from 1 species